UGUUUGUUUUAGAUUAUGGAGUGCCUUUUUUGGUUUUCAUGCAUGCCUCAGCUUCAUAUGAUCAUAAAAUUCCGUAGGUUGAUCAAUAUAUAUGAUGAAACCCUACUCUCUCACAACAAUGUGAGAAUAACAACACUCCAGAUAUGCAUAUCCUUUAUCUUUCUUGUAUGUAGUUACAUGUCAAAUUUCUUCGUUCUUUGAUUCAUUACACUCAAUUCAGGUAUGGUUUGCACCAAUUCAAGAGACUGUACAUUAGGCAUUCAAUAUAUAAGACUGGAGUGAGACUGAUUCGGCAUUUAAAUGUGUUGUACGAUGUUGUUUGAAUUGCUUGUCCUAAUAGGUGCACAAGUUGGGAUGGAUUGGACUUUUACCUUGAGAAAAUGCCAUAAUUUCAUAAAUCGUCACCAACUUCACAAAAAGACAAAUAGCAUCAGUGGCCACAGAUUGCAACC